rnacentral:rRNA from 1 species
AGCAGCCGCGGUAAUUCCAGCUCCAAUAGCGUAUAUUAAAGUUGUUGCAGUUAAAAAGCUCGUAGUUGAAUUUCGGGAUUAGUACGUUGGUCGUGCCUUCGGUACGUACUGGUGUUACUGAUUCCUACCUUCUGACGAACCAUCAUGUCAUUAAUUUGGUGUGGUGGGGAAUCAGGACUGUUACUUUGAAAAAUUAGAGUGUUUAAAGCAGGCUCGCGCUUGAAUACAUUAGCAUGGAAUAAUGAAAUAGGACGUUGACCCUAUUUUGUUGGUUUCUAGGAUUGACGUAAUGAUUAAUAGGGAUAGUUGGGGGCAUUAGUAUUCAAUUGUCAGAGGUGAAAUUCUUGGAUUUAUUGAAGACUAACUACUGCGAAAGCAUUUGCCAAGGAUGUUUUCAUUAAUCAAGAACGAAAGUUAGGGGAUCGAAGACGAUCAGAUACCGUCGUAGUCUUAACCAUAAACUAUGCCGACUAGGGAUCGGAUGAUGUUAUUUUUAAUGACUCAUUCGGCGCCUUACGGG